UACGUAGGGUGCGAGCGUUAAUCGGAAUUACUGGGCGUAAAGCGUGCGCAGGCGGUUUUGUAAGCCAGGUGUGAAAUCCCCGGGCUCAACCUGGGAAUGGCAUUUGGGACUGCAAGGCUGGAGUUUGGCAGAGGAGACUGGAAUUCCUGGUGUAGCAGUGAAAUGCGUAGAGAUCGGGAGGAACACCAGUGGCGAAGGCGGCUACCUGGACCAGCACUGACACUGAAGCACGAAAGCGUGGGGAGCAAACAGG
rnacentral:rRNA from 1 species